rnacentral:misc_RNA from 1 species
GGAAGGAUCAUUAAAGGAUUAAUGGAUAAAUUCCAUAUCUGUGAAAGGUAUGGUGGGCUUAGCUGGGUUGAAAUCGCCAGGCGCUAUAGCGCAAAGGUGACCUAGCGAAAGUCAUCAGUCAACGACUGACCCUGAUGAGAAUUUGAGGAAUCUGAUGGACUAGCGAAUGACUAGUUAAUUAUCGGAGCUCGAAUUCAGGAUUCAGUGGAGGAAGUUGGCUUACAGACAUUUGAGGUAGUUCUCUUAGUGGGUGUAGUUGGUCUGGCUAUGCGAGUACCCAUUAAGAAAGCUCUGGGCGACUGACCUGGGGUAACUUUAAAGAGUUUUAGGCGAGCAAAUAGAAGUGGCUACGAUAUUCUGCUACGAUGAUUUGCAAGCUAGAAACCGCCUCACUAAAUUUUUUUGAAAAUUUAUGAUGUCAGCUUGCAAGGCUUGAAUCGUACGUCCUGAGCGAUAGACUUGGCGACUAUAAGUGAGAGCUUGCUGUUGGGACUUGGAUUCUGAGUGAGCCCAAUCUGAUGACUUGGUAUGGUUAAUGCUUUUGCAAUCUCUCCUGAGGAUCGACUUGGCGAGAGAGAAGUGAGAGUCAUUAAUUGAUAUGAUCUUGCUUAUCAGAUUGGAGUUUCGAUUUGCUUUCUAGCGACCUGAGCGAAAGACUUGGGAAAGCUGUGAGAGCUAGCGAAUGACUUGGAUGAAGUGACUUGAUCACAUCAUAAAUUUGUUUCGAAAAAUGGUAUCUAAUGCUAUGAGGAUCAGCUAGAUGAGCUGAUGAAAAACCUUAUAGUGAACUCUAAGAGAAUUCUUUGAGGAGAUUUAAAGAGUCGUAUGACCGCCAUCUAUAAUUAAACUAUUUUAAAACCUAGCUUGGCAUACGAUUCUAUGUCAAUAAUUGUGAUUCUAAGCGGUGGAUCACUUGGCUUGUGGGUCGAUGAAAAACGGGGCAAAACCCGAGAGCUAAUGUGAAUUGCAGACACAUUGAACAUCGACAUUUUGAACGAACAUUUUGGCAUUAGGUAUUCCUGAUGCCGCGUUUGGUUGAGGGUUGUUUUUUAUGCUUGCCGAACUACGUGGAUAGGGAGGCAGAUUUGAGUGGCUGUUUCGGCACCCACUUUAAGCUAUUGAAUGACUUUCGAAAAUUGAAGUCAUAGUUCUUAUGAGCUUUAUUAGUUGAAGUAUUGCAAAUGAUUAGUGCAUUCUUUAAUUGAUAGAGUAUAAACGAAAACUAUAUAACCUCAGCUCAAGCGCGACUACCCGCCGAAUUUAAGCAUAUUAUUAGGCGGAGGAAAAGAAACUAACAAGGAUUUCCCUAGUAACGGCGAGUGAAAAGGAAAAAGCCCAUCGCUGAAUCCCUUGGCAUUUGCCCUGGGACCUGUAGCGUUAAUGAAAGUCGCUCUGCUGGCGCUAUUAUCGUAAGCUCCCUUGAUUGGGACCCCAUAGAGGGUGGAAGGCCCGUAACGAUAUGUUAGCUAGCGGUAUGAUUUUCAAAAGAGUCGGGUUGCUUGAGAGUGCAGCCCAAAGUUGGUGGUAAACUCCAUCUAAGGCUAAAUAUGACCACAAGACCGAUAGCGAACAAGUACCGCGAGGGAAAGUUGAAAAGAACUUUGAAGAGAGAGUUCAAAAGGGCGUGAAACCGUUUAGAAGCAAACGGAUAAAGCCGCAAGGUAGUUGCAAAAAUCAGCUAGGCAAAUGGGUGAACACUUGUCGGUCGAUCGAUUAAACGACUGGCUAUGUUAUUAGCCUCUGUCUGGUGCACUUUUUGCGAUGAAGCAUUGCGACCAAGGUGAAUUCUGACGGAAGAGUGAGCUUGAAGGCAGAGACGAGUUUUCUGUAACUAGGCUCCUUGAAAGUCAGUACAUAACUUUGGUUCCCCUAGCAGCGGCCGUAAGGAGUAGUGAAAUUUGGUGGCUGGCUUGGUCGAAAUGUCUGAUUCUGCUUGCAGGGUUGGGCGAUUCCUAGGCUAGUAGCUGAGUGAUCUACUAGCUGCGAAGGCUCGGCAAUGUCAGUGGCGGCGACUUAUCCGACCCGUCUUGAAACACGGACCAAGGAGUCUAACAUGUGCGCGAGUUAUUGAGUGGUAAACUCAAAGGCGAAAUAAAAGUAAAGACAGCGCUAGCUGGCUUAAAUAUGAUCCUCGGCUUCGGCUGGGGCGGAGUAUUGUCCCAUCUAAGUGGUUCGUCCACUGGGUGGAGAAAGAGCGCAAAUGUUGGGACCCGAAAGAUGGUGAACUAUGCCUGAGCAGAACGAAGCCAGAGGAAACUCUGGUGGAGGUUCGUAGCGGUUCUGACGUGCAAAUCGAUCGUCAGACUUGGGUAUAGGGGCGAAAGACUAAUCGAACCAUCUAGUAGCUGGUUCCCUC